rnacentral:misc_RNA from 1 species
UCUUAAUGAUCUUACCAGAGCCUUGUAAGGACCUUCGCCCUGAUUCCUCACCCCCUGCAAACCAAAAAGGAAAAAAAAAAAAACAGGAUACAGGAAAAAAUCUUAAAUAAUAAGCAAAAAACAGUAAUUCACCAACGUAACAUCAAACUACAUAGCUUCCAUAUUUUCUAAUUCAUAUUUAACGUUUCAACAAGCUACAAAAUCAAUUUUCCUCUAUUUACUAACUGAAUAUUCUCAAAUAUCAACCUGUCACCAAAACAAAAUCAACCAGUUCAUUCAAAAUUUCAAAUCAAACAUCAGAUCUACAACAAACAGAUUCUACAUACACCUAUAAG